CAGUGACGAAACGCCACAGAGGGAACGACAGCCUCCUGACAUGACAGCUCUUCUUGAGACAUUGUUAUCCAAUUUGGAUGGAACAACUUCGUGACCUUAAUGACACCCAGCAACACGAGACGCACACAAGCACCACAGGGGAGGAUCUGCAGCAAAGGGCCCACCGGAAAUCAAACCUUGGCCGCUAUGAUGACGACAACAUGGGGCACUUGAGUGUGUGACUACGACUACCAGCAUGAACCUCAACACCUUCUUUGCUGUUCCACUAGUGUGACCCAUGAUCGGAUACAAGUUGUCAAGGAUAAACGGUGAGAGAAUCAUGUCAGCCCACAGACAACCGAUUGACCUGUGAGUCUUCAAGCAGUAAUGAUGACUACGCCUGCCUUAAGUUCCAGUUUCCUGAACAUCAUGGCAUGUCUGCAGGAGAUUCGGUCCCCACCUGUCUUCAGUCUGGACCUAAUGACUCAGACACCAGUCUUGUCGAGGCUAAAUCGAGAGAGGAUCACCUGAUGUCAACAUACGAGUUUUCAAGAAGAACUUCCUGAACUUUGUGUCUGUGUGAGACUCUACCAUGCUGGGUGCCCUCUUCAGUCAAGUCUGGACACAGCGACUCAUUGCUCUUAAUCAACUCUGGGCAAGUGGCUAAUCUUUGCUUAUUCAUGGGAUAUCCUUCAUGUCCACAUCCUGUUUCUUCAAGAUCUCAACAAUGCUUUGUGAGUAUACAACACAUGUGAGUGGAUCAGUUCAACCUGUUUUUCACAGAAUGUUAGUUUCUUAAGGUUUUCAUCAACGAUGGUUUGUAUCUUGUUUUCCAAAAGGUGUGAUUAAGAUAUUUCCAUUUGUAAUUUACAAUAAUCAAAUGUUGACUGUAAAAUCUAUGCCAACCUAUUGUUAUACACUGUACCAUGUUUUUGCAAAGGAAUUCUGGUGACUUUAGUUGCCAGCAACUUCCUUUGAACUUUGUAAUAAAAUACCGUAACUGUAAUAAAGUUUACAGUAUAACUGUUGUUUUUACAAAACUUACUGUCAUGUCUUGUAUGUUCACCGUUAAUUGGAACUUUUCAAUAAAGUACCAUAAUAUAUUA